GAAAUCAACAAUACUUGAAAGCAGAUAAGUACUUAACAUGCAAAGAAAAAUACAAAUGAAAUGCGAGGAAUAGCCAAAUGAUUGCCAGUGCAGAGGAAUCUCUCUCGUGCUUGGUUCACUGCUGGGCUAGCCUUCUUCAGAGUAGUGGUAUUUCUCCUCAUCGAGACUAGUACGAUAAUCAUCUUCAGACCUAUUCUCGGAAAUCUCCUCCACAGUUUGGACUGAUG
rnacentral:lncRNA from 1 species